AUUGAACGCCGGCGGCAGGCUUAACACAUGCAAGUCGAGCGGGGUGAUGGUGCUUGCACUAUCACUUAGCGGCGGACGGGUGAGUAAUGCUUAGGAAUCUGCCUAUUAGUGGGGGACAACAUCUCGAAAGGGAUGCUAAUACCGCAUACGUCCUACGGGAGAAAGCAGGGGAUCACUUGUGACCUUGCGCUAAUAGAUGAGCCUAAGUCGGAUUAGCUAGUUGGUGGGGUAAAGGCCUACCAAGGCGACGAUCUGUAGCGGGUCUGAGAGGAUGAUCCGCCACACUGGGACUGAGACACUGCCCAGACUCCUACGGGAGGCAGCAGUGGGGAAUAUUGGACAAUGGGGGGAACCCUGAUCCAGCCAUGCCGCGUGUGUGAAGAAGGCCUUAUGGUUGUAAAGCACUUUAAGCGAGGAGGAGGCUCUUUUGGUUAAUACCCAAGAUGAGUGGACGUUACUCGCAGAAUAAGCACCGGCUAACUCUGUGCCAGCCGCCGCAGUAA
rnacentral:rRNA from 1 species